rnacentral:rRNA from 1 species
CGWWCKCCKCCUACSGGAGGCAGCAGUGGGGAAUCUUGCACAAYSGGGGAAACCCUGAUGCAGCGACGCCSCGUGAGCGAUGAAGCCCUUCGGGGUGUAAAGCUCUUUCGGCAGGGAAGWUGAUGACGGUACCUGCAGAAGCAGCUGCGGCUAACUACGUGCCAGCAGCCGCGGUAAUACGUAGGCAGCGAGCGUUGUUCGGAGUUACUGGGCGUAAAGGGUGUGUAGGCGGUUGUUUAAGUUUGGUGUGAAAUCUCCCGGCUCAACUGGGAGGGUGCGCCSAAUACUGAAUGACUUGGAGUGCGGGARARGUGAGUGGAAUUCCUGUGUAGCGGUGAAAUGCGUAGAUAUCAGGAGGAACACCGGUGGUGUAGACGGCUCACUGGACCGUAACUGACGCUGAGACACGAAAGCGUGGGUAGCAAACAGGAUUAGGUACCCUGGUAGUCCACGCCCUAAACGAUGCAUAUUUGGUGUGGGCAGUUCAUUCUGUCCGUGCCGGAGCUAACGCGUUAAAUAUGCCGCCUGGGGAGUACAGUCGCAAGGCUGAAACUCAAAUGAAUUGACGG